GGAGAGGUGGCUGAGUGGUUUAAGGCAGCGGUCCGCAAGGACUGCUAUGUGGUUAAUAGCCGCAUCGGAGGUUCGAAUCCUUCCCCUCUCCGCCA
rnacentral:tRNA from 1 species